rnacentral:piRNA from 1 species
UUCAAAAAAAAUCGUCGUUAC